CAAAUAUCAUGAGUACCCAAAGUACCAGAAUUACGUGUUAGUUUGGUCCGAGAAAAAAAUUGUCAUCAACGAAUAUACAAAGCUUUCUUCACUUAUGCUUACGAUUCCAAGGGGUGCUUCUUUAUAUCCAUUGGUCCCUUCCAUUAUAGAAUUGAAGCAUGACAGGAGACCUCAAAAAAUUAUUGUUGAUGUGGUUGGGAGAAUAAUAGAAGGCAAACGUGAUCGAUGUUGUUUUGAACUUUCUCUUCGAGAUAAGACUUGUCACACAAUACAAAUGUUUUUGUCCGCCCUGAAGCCUUCCGAUGUUAUACAUACCAUUCGAGCCGUGCAACAAAAGUCUAUCAUAU